AUAAAAGGCAAUCAAUAGAAAUUAAAAUCACAGUUAGGAUUAAUGAGUAACAUUUAUCUAAGUACCCGCCAAUAUUAUACACAGCUCCUUACUCAGCUUGAGGAAAGCCUGGGCUGGUUAAAGAAAGCAUGAAAACAAAGAAAAAUUCCUCCCUAUAACACAAUAGGAAUUGUAAGAAAUAUAUAUAUUACAAUUAUAGAGUUAUCCUAAAAUUUUAUCGUUUGUGAUUCUCAAAUGUGAUUUGAUUUUUAUCUUUUUGUUGGCUAGUAAACAUAGCCAAAUACCAGAUCUACAAAAAGAGUAAGGAUUGUGGAUUAAGAUGAAUGCAAUUUAACAGUGAAAUAUUAUAUAGAAGUGGAUGUUAUAAAUUGAAAAAAGGAAUAAGUUCCCUUAUUAUAGACAUAUUUUACCUCAUACUAAAAUAGGUAAGAAAUUCCUGAUUAUAUGUUGUGCCAUUCAGGAAGUUAAUACUUUUUAAUCAUAAUGUGUUAUUUUACAGUAAUAAUUGAAGAUUUGUGCAAGUGAAUUAAAGUAAAUUAUACAUGCUUGGAAAUUGCCACAUGAGACCAUCUAGAAUGAACAGUUUAUGCAAAAAAAACAUGUUCAGGAAGAAUAUAAAAAUUUUAACACUUGUAAAUAGAAGUAAGAUGAAAUUUGCCACCUGCCUUUGUACUUUAUGAGGGCAUUUGCAAAUAAACGUCAAAACAAGAAGAAAAUAUUGAAAAGACAAUUUGUGCCAUUUUUAUCAACAUCGUGGUAGUGCUGGAUUGCCUAUCCAACUCUGUAUUCCUAGCAGCCUUUAUGGAUUUUCAAACACUUCAGAGCCUAACACAUCAGCAAAGAGUAGUGCAUUAAGUAAUGAAAAUUAGAAGAUAUAAUUUCUGGUGCUCAUGAUGACUUACUAGCCCUAGCCUGAAAGCAGCUGAGAACAUUUACAUUUCUGAAAACUAGAAGUAAGAAAGGAUUUGACUUUUUUCCCAUUAGGUCAAGAAAGGUAGUUGCCAAGUUGGAUAGAUAUUGGUUCUACAGCCAUUAUAAUGAUCUGAAAGGUUGAAGAAGGUGUUGCAUGAACACUCUUGUGAAUCACUGUAGUAGAACUCAAGUAAUUGGAGGGAGACUGGAAUGUUGAUUUGAAGACAAUUUAUAAAGAUUUUCUCAUUGCCACUGUUGCAUUAACACAAGAAGUGGAGUCACUACUAUGCGGAUAAGAACUGUAUGAUUGGAUUGACAUUGGCAUCAUCCCAUUGUUUUCAUAAGUAUGAAGUGUAUUUCAUGAUAUUUUUGAAAUUAAUUGUAGAGAAUUUUUAAUUGAUUUUUCUUUUUCUCAAAGGGUUUAAGUAAUGUGUAGCAUAGUCUGGCUCGAGUGGUGACAUAAUAGAAAUAUACCAAAUACAGUUAGAACAGUAUUAGAUGAAACUAUAGUGCAUUCCAAAGUUUUUUUUGGGGAGGGGUGGUAUAUUUUAUUGGAUUUUAUUUAUAAAUACUUGUUAUAACUGUAGCUUUUAAUUGUUUGAGAUAAUAGCUUACAGUUAUGUGCCAAAAUUCUAUUACUUUGAAGUACAUUGACAUGGUAUAUCAAGUCUACAAAUGAUUAAGUGCCUUAGCAGGAUUAAUGAAUUUGGCCAUUACAAUGACAAGAAUUUUAGUCGGCAGUAUUCUCAUAUAUUUAUGUAUUUAUUUAUGUAUUUGUUUAUGUAUUUGUUCAUGUAUUUAUUAAAUCAUCAUGCUACUCAUUUUUGUUCAUUGUUUAUAAGUGCAUUUAUAAAUGAGUCUGUAAGCAUGUCAUCUUGCAUGUCAGAUGAAAUACUGUGUCUUUUCUAUCACUCUAUUUUAUUACUAAGUUGUACAUAAAUUAUGUAUUAAAUACAAAA